GUUUUGCAAUGGUUGGUAUAAGGGACCCAUUGCCACAGCUGAUAGAUCUGCAUUCACUUCCUCUUUCCAUGGCUGUAUGUAUGACUGCCUCCAGCUCGCCCUAAAGGCUGACUGAUAACACCUGGACCAGGAGAAAACCUGUCUGCUGACACCAACAAGAUUCCCUACCCUGAUUUUUUUAUCCUGCCUAUUUAUGAGGACAUUGUGAUCUAUGAUGUCAGAAAUGGCACUUAAAUCCAGAAACACGGGAGCAGAAGUGCUGCAACAAUCGGAGGAGAGAAGGAGCUCGUUCAUCACCUUGGUUCAGGCCUGAAGCUGAGCAGAUCACUCAGAAUGCAUGUGGGAUGACUGGAUGGAGCGGAAUUCGAUAC